ACUCUAGCUCUAGGAUGUAAACAGAGUAAGAGAGCCGCAUGAAUUAACUACGCGCGCCUACCAUUUUCUUUUGCUCCCUCUCAAACCCUCUCCCUUUCUCUGCUGCUCCUCCGUAGCAGUACUGUUUGACAAACCGCAUCCUUGUCCUGUUGGCUGCAGAAGGUCCGAAGAAAGAGGAGUUACUGGAGGAAAAAGUGGUUCAGAGGUGACUAUUCAACCGCAUAAGAGAUGGUGAAAAUUAACCUAUCACCACUGCUAAUGAACAUCACCCUAUGGAGAACCGGAGAUCCCCAGAGGCAAUUGUCCACCUGACUUCAGAAUCAGAAGUAGCUCUGCUUUUCCUGAGAAGUGGUGCGGGUUUUGCCUUAUGGAUGCUAACUGAGACUGGAACAUGUUCCCUUUUUUGUAUCAGCUGCUGGUACAAAAUUGAGAGUUGAGAGCCAAAACUGUACCCUUAUCACCUGUCAGUAACUUAAGGAGGAAGUCAGCUACCAUGCCUCCAGGACACUCAAGUAACCCCAUGGAGAUGACAUUGCAGAGAAGAACUGGUCGAAAGCCAGUACCCACUUUGCCAUCUGUGUGAACAAUCCACCUUUGAGUGGGUCCUCCAGCCCACAUCAAGCCUUCAUAUAACAGCAGUCCUGAAGGACAUUUUAUUGUAACCUCGUGAAAAUCGAAGUAGGAACUCACCAGCCAAGUUGCUCCUGAAUUCUGCAGGCGUAAAACCGUGAGAAAUUACAGAUCAUUAUGGUUGUUUUGAGUCACUGAGCUUUGGGAUGAUAUGUUACGCAGCAAAGGAUAACUAAUACAGUAUUAGAAAGCAAGCCUUCCUUUAGGUAGGAAACAGCUCUUUUCAAAUAAAUCUUCAAGCAUCCUGUCUCUCAAUUUCCAUGCUUCCCAUGGACCAGACAUGGCUGGUCAUCUCUGAGAGACAUUUGAAGGGUCAUGUUAGAUCCUGAUGAAGCAGGCUGCCUGGAGGGACCAUCUAACCCCAGGAGAGAAAAGCUGCAGUUGUCUGGAUAGCAUUGAUCCUGUUUCUACACUCAACUCAGUGUGAGAGAUUUUAAAAAUUUAGUGUGAGAGAUUUAUAUAGAUAUCUUUGCCACUUAUUUUUAUUUUUUAUUUUUCUAUCUUGUUCUAAGGUUUCAUUUUAGAAUAUGCCUCAGCUUUCAUUUUCAUCACCAGUUAUAUUUUCUUACCCAACUUGAAAAUCAAUGGAACCACUGUCUUGGGAUAUUUUCCUCCUCCAUAUCCUCAGUGAUACCAUCUCUGUGAAUUGGUUUCGGGAAAACUUCUGCGUUGCAGAGCUUAACGGAUUUAGAGUAACGACAUUCUUAUGACAGCCAAAUUGGGUAGCCAUGGCCUUGGAAAACUGAGAAGUCAAAAAUAGUAGGAAUAUUCAUUAUAAAACGGAAGUCUGGAAAGCUGCCCAUGUUCUGAGAAAAACCUUUUAGCCAAAGAACUCAAAUUCCCAUUCAGAUUUUCAUGGGUAAAAUUCCAAAAAAAGUCUUUUUUUAGCAGACAGAGAGACAGAGAGAGAGAGAGAGAGAGAACCACUUUUGUAGCUGUGACCUAAUUCUGCUAAUAAGGAAUUUAUUACUGAGGACUAGAUAAUUUAUUUAGUAUCUAAUCACAGACUUAUUUUCAUGGAACAAGGACCUGGGAUUUGUUAGUGCCUUCAGGGAACUACAGUACUAGUUACUGCUCUUCCUAACAACCUGUGUGACCUGUCUGCAUCUCGUUCUUUUUCUCUGCAGGAGUCUGAGAAUAUCUGUUGACCAGAGAUAAACUAUCGGGAGGCUUUGAAGUGCUGUAAAUGCUUUACCUAUUUGAGGUUUCAUUAUUAUUUUGUCUUUUACAUUUAGUCAUUUUCUGCAAGAGGGGAGAAAAACGGCUUAUGUGACAUUAUAAAAAUAUGAAAAGUCAAAUAAAAAACAAGCCAAUGCAUGAUGACUGUUAAGCAAGUUUCUGUUAAUUGAAUCAUAUUUCUCCAUUGAUUUGCAUAAAUAAUGAUGAUUGGUUUCCAUGGGGGCAGGUGGCUUGCAACGAAGCAAAAUCACAUUCAAAAUUGCAGGAAAUCUGUAAGCAGUCAUUUAAAAUACUAAAAUAGGUUAUGGAUAUAUGAGUGUAAUGUGACAGUGAACAUGUAUGAUUCUUUGAAGGAAGGUCUUUAAAGAAAGGGGGAUUUCUUUGAUCCCAGGACUUUCCCUUGAGUCUGGAGAAAGUAGGUUUUUCUGCUUUUUAUAGAAAUAAGAUAUUCCUGGGUAAAUGUGGAAAUUAGAUGUGUAUCUCAGGGUUUGAUUGGAAAGCAGAAGGUGCACUAGAUUCCAGGGAGUAAGGGCUUUAUUCAAAGGACUUAGGACUAUAAAAGACAUUUGGAUCUCCACCAUGGCUGAUCUUAUCCUGAAGUGCCAUAACAGAAGUUCUCAUGAGCUCUAAUGCUCAAGAAUGUGUGGAAAUGCCAAUCUAAUGUUCUUAGACUAUGGUGGGAAAGCUGGUGGUUCUCAGGAACCCUGUGGGAAGCUGCUGUGAACCACAGAGGCCCGGCUGCAACUACCUCCAAGGCUAAUGACCCCACCUCCUCUGUGCCUUCUGGGUCUAGCCGAGUCCUCUCAUUGGCAAACUCUUGCUGGGAGCCACAUGGGAAGGGGAUUCUUGGAAAUGAGCCCUUAGAAUGGGAACUUAGAAGGGAGAGGGGAUGAUGCCGAAUCCAUGGAGGUCUGUGUUCGCUCCACUGGCAUCACUUGGGUCAUCUCAGUGACCUCACCAGCAAUGUUAGGAAGGUGGUAUCAUUCAUCUCUUAAUUUUCUUUUGAAAAAGAUGAUAAAAGUGAGGCUCAGAGAAGUGAAAUAAUCAGCCUAGGUCAUAUAACUAGUGUUUAGCCACUAGAAUUCAAACUUGGGUCUAUGUGAGGGAAAAUCCCUAGCUCCUUUGGUAUUUUAUGCAUAUACACUAGUGGCUCAAACUUUAGCUGUAUUAGCAUCACCUGGAAGAAUCAUCCACCCCCAGAGUUUCUGAGUCAGCAGGUCUGGGGGUGGAGUGGGAGGGGAGUGACCUGAGAUUUGCAUUUCUAACAAGUUCCCAGGUGAUGCUAUUGCUGCUGGUUCAGGGACCACACUUUGAGAACUCUAGAGUAGGAAGAUGAUGCUAUUCCUUAUCUCGAUCUACAGGGGUGUUCAGGGCCAGGCAGAUUCUACAAAAUACCCAAUUUGCUCUGAAUAUUUCUAUUGCAUUUGAAUAUGGUUCCUAUCAAGUAGCAUAGAUGCUGUGGUGCUUGGCUUUGUGUGUGUAUGAGUGACGGGUGUGUGUGUGUGUGUGUGUGUGCUUGUAUUUUAGCUACAUAGCCUUCGCAGGUAAUUGUACAGCUGUAUGAAAAUGAAUGGGCUCAUAUUUCUGACUGCUACCUUAUUUGGAAACCGAGGAGGGUACCUGGUGCUGUGCUUAUUUUCCUGAUUGAGCCGGAAUACCAAAUUAAACUUUUGACUUGAUGAUUUAUUUAUUAUUUCAUUGUGAGUUUUUUUUUAAAUCAGCAUUUGAUAAGUAAAUGGUCCAAGUCUUACUUUGGCAUUCAUGGGAGUAAGAUUAGUCUUGACGAAUUAUUUGCUUAUUCAUUGAGGUGUAAUUUAAUUCUAUAGAAAUUGCAUGGCAAUUUAGCACACAUUAAUGAGCAGAUACUGUCUCAUAGCUUAAUGAAUCUGUCAUCCUUUUAAGGUGGGGGAAAAAACAUUUAAAGAAUCAACAGUUAACUAGAAGGCCGGACAUGGUGGCUCACACCUGUAAUCUCAACACUUUGGGAGGCUGAGGUGGGAGGAUUGCUUGAGCCCAGGAGUUUAAGAGCAGCCUGAGCAACAUAGCGAGACCCCAUCUCGCUAAAAAAAAUUAAACAAACAAACAACUCCCACAAAAAAAUCCCAGUCAACUAUAGGAGGAAGUCUAUUCAGAAAUUUAUUGGACUCAACCAACUUUAUGGACCUCUUGGGCACAGAUAUGCAGAUUUUAGAUGCCUGGUCAAUGUGAAGGGGUAACUGCUUUCCCUCUCUGGAGAGUCAGAAAGGCCAAGGCCUUGCUUCCUAGUACCUAGAGAAAGAUAGGCUGUCAUGUAACCUUUGGGCGCCCUUACCUGUCAGAUGGGGGGAUGAGUUCUAAUAUGGAUUUUAUAGGAUUGUAGUGGAGGUUAAAUGAUGUAAUGAAUGACUGUAAAGGUUCUGAAAUGUAGUUGAUUCUCAACAAAUUAUUGAUUGUUAUAAUAUUACAAUGCUACUAUUUACCUUAGUGACGAUUUUCCCCUUUUCUUUAUUUCCUUUCAUUCUUCCUUUCCCUCUUCCUCCUUCCUUAUUUCCUUUCCUUUCUUCUACUUCUUUUCUCUCUGUGUGUUUUGAGACAAGGUGUCACUCUGUUGCCCAGGCUGGAGUGCAAUGGUGCGAUCAUGGCUCACCGCAGCCUCAACCUCCUGGACUCAAGUGAUCCCACCUCAACCUCCCGAGUAGCUGGGACUACAGGCACAUGCCACCAUAUCCUGCUAAUUUGUAUUUUUUUUGGUAGAAACAGGGCUUCACUAUGUUGCCCAGGCUGGUCUCGAAUUCCUGAGCUCAAGCAAUCUGCCCGCUUUAGCCUCCCAAAGUGCCGAGAUUACAGCUGUGAGCCUCUGUGCCCGGCUCCUCCACUUUCCUUUUUUAUUGCUUACCUGUUUAUUAUACCCUUAUUAUAAAGGGUACAACUCAUAAACAGCCAAAUGGAAGAAACAUGGGUGGUGUGGAGCUUCUGUGUCCUCUCCAGGUGUGCUGUGCUCUCAAUAUGCCCAUGUGUUCACCAACCUGGAAGCUCCUCAAUGAAUAUUUCUUUCAGGAAUCUGAGAUGAGCCAUUUUCUGGCCCAGAAAGUCUGGCCAUUCCAAAUCACUCUCCCCUUCCCCAGCCAUGUAGCCUGUCCCUUUUCCCACCCAUAUGCACAUUGCACUUCUCUCCAUUGUCCUUUUGUGCCAAAUUCCUCCUCAACCUUCAAGACAAAGCUGGAGCGUCACCUUCUCUGUGAAGCCUGCCGUGAUCACCUCCACCUAUAGCAGAGAUCAGAGGUGUUGCCGGCAUACCCUUCCUUCUCACUGCCUUCCAUCUGAUGCUGAGAUAGUCUGCAUUCAUGUCUGUAUUCUCCAAAUGCCGGCAGCUCCUUGAGGAAAUGACCAAAUGUGGUUUCCAUAUUCGUGACCAUAAUACCUGGCCCAGAAUAAGCAGUUGGUGAAUAAAUUAAUGCUGCUUUGGGUGCACAUAAUGACUAUCAAUCUGAUGACUUGGGGUGUCACGGUUAACACUAGGUUGAAAUGAGUGAGGUACCUAAGGCACACCUUUUUUUAAUUUAAUUUAAUUUAUUUUAUUUUAUUUUUUCUAAGACGGAGUCUCACUCUGUCGCCCACGUUGGAGUGCAGUGGUGCCAUCUUGGCUCACUGCCACCUCCACCUUCUGAAUUCAAGCAAUUCUCCUGCCUCAGCCUCCCAAAUAGCUGGGAUGACAGUCAUGCACCACCACGCCUGGGUAAUUUUUGUAUUUUUAGUAGAGACGAGGUUUCACCACAUCAGUCAGGCUGCUCUCAAACUCUGACCUCAAGUGAAAUCCACCUGCCUCGGCCUCUCAAAGUGCUGGGAUUAUAGGUGUGAGCCAUCACGCCCAGCCUAAAACACAACAUUUAAGGAGGUGCGUCAGGACACUCAUGAUGGACACUCUGAGUUACUGAAAACAUCAGACUCUUCAUCUACAAUCAUUGCACAAGACAAUUUUUACUGGCAUCUGGGCUUUAAAACUUGAAUAUUAAUUUUUGUCCAUGUAUUUCCAAGAACUGACAUUAUAUUACCCCGUGUCUUGGCAUGUGUGAGAUAAGGGCAUCCUUCAGUCUCUGGUCAGGUUGGCUGAAAGCCCGUCACAUGCCAAGCCCUGUGCUCCUUACUGGGGUACAGUGCAGGCAUGAUGGACAGCCCCAUCUUCAGCACCAUCUCAGCUCUCAAGGGCUCAGAGGGAUGAGCAUGGAGCAAGGAGAAUACUCAUCAAGAAUUGUACGUGAAUGGCUAUAACACAGUAUUAAGCAAAGUUCAGUUCAGUAGGCAUGGUAGAGAGAAAAUGUUAUGGGCAUGUGAAGAUGACUUCUAGCUGAGAGGAUGGACAGAACUUGUGAAAGAGGUGGCAUUUGAUGACUCACACUAACCUAGUCAAUGUUGUUCAUGCCUCACUCGGUUCCCCUUCACUGGGUCCAGCUGCCAGGGUGGUUGGUUUCUAAGGCCAACAGUGGCGCCUUUCUCUGAAGAAUUUCCCUCUGCUAAUAAAAGCCCCCACUCCCCAUCCCCAUGAGUGGCUGUGUUCUCGCCACAUGGAUGGCUCCCAGAUAAUGACUUAUUCAUGCCUCAACUCAAAGUACGGCAGCUCUGUGGUGCCAUUCACAUUCUAGAGCUCGGGCUGAACCCAGAUUUCAGCUGAAGUCACCACGUGGCUUAGCUCCUUGGUCUUUCUCCCCUCUCUUUUCCCUUAUGUUUCUCUCCAGACAGUGCCCCAAUAUACCACUUACACAAGAGUCCCCAUUUGGGCUAUGCUUCUAGGGAUUCAGGCUUAAGACAAAAACCAACAAGGACAACAACAAUAGUACUGCUACUCAUAACUUGAUAUUUGCAGCAUUGUGCAUGUUCACUGAUUUAAUUUUUAUAACACCUUGUGAAUUGUUAUUCCUGGUCUGCAGACAAGGAAGCUGAAACUCAGAGAGGUUAGAGUUCCUUUGCCCAAGUUCCCACAGCUGCUAAGCUGGGAGUCACACCUAGGAAAUCUGGCUUUUGGUUCCCUGAUAGCAAGUGCUCCAUGGCAACUUCAAAUCUAUACACCCCAGGGCUCAAGAGCUGGGGCAUGAGGAGCUCUGCAUGAGGGUGCAGGACUCUGGGGUGCUCCUGAGUUUGGAGGCAGGGACUCCCGUGAGAAGAGUGCAGGAUGUGGAGUCAGGCAGCCUGAAUUUUAGAUCUGGGCUGUGUCUCAGGACAGUGCCACAGCUCCUCCUUGGGCCUCAGACUUUUUACCUGUGGAAUGGGCUGCAUAGCCACUUUACAGAGCUGUUAUAGACCUGCUGUGAGGAUGUGCAGUCCUCAUCCUCAUGCCUGGCAUGUGGCAGGCAGUCAUUUCAUGUCGCAGUCAGCCUGUCUGGGCCCAUCUGGUGGCAGAGGCAGACCAGCUGGCCCUCAGCAUCCAAGGUGUCUGGAGCACCAGUGAGCGAGGACACCAGCUCUGGUCCUGAGACAGAGGCUGCUUCGAGAUGGAUGGAACUUCUUUUGUUCUCCCUGCUGUGAGAAGGAGAUGAAGGUGACUUAGCUCUCAUCAAAAUACAGCUGCCCACGGUGUGGUGUGGCAUGGUGGCUCUAUCCUGAUACUUUACAAUCCUCAACAUGUGGUUUUCCUGUUCAGUCCAAGGUGGUUGCUUAGGGGCCAGCAGGAGGGUGGAGAGAUGGGCUGUCUCAUCCAUGGGAUGGUGCCUGGAAGUUACCUCACUUCCAUUUAUAUCCCUUUGGACAAACCUGAGUUUGUAUUUACACCUUGCCGCCAGAAAGGCUGGAAAAUUGGGAUUUUAUUAUUGGAAGAAGGGGGACAAGUAGCAGCUUCUGCCUCAGUGGAAAGUCUGGUGCAAAGAUAGCGGUCGUAACCUGGAAGUCUUCAUGGGCACUCACUGUGUGCCAACCACAUGUAUUACAGAACUGCUUUUAUUAUAAUAUUUUCACAGUCACCCUAUGAGAUGGGCACUAUUAGCGGCAUGCCCAUUGUACUGAUGAGGAGGCCCGAGGGCAGAGCCUGGAUUUGACCCCUGGCAAGCCAGCUUUACAGGCUACACAGCUAACCACCACCAUGCUGUAUGGAGGGUUCCAGAAUGGAUAAACACAGUUUUCACUAAUGGAUUUGCUAUUUACUAACCCUGUGGCUUUGGGUAAGCUAUUUUUCCUCACAAGUUCUUAGUGUUCCCAUGACAGAGGGACGUAUGUAUCAAAUGAAAUAAAAACAUGGGAUGGCUGUUUGUCAACUGGAAAAAGUUAGAAGGAAGACUGACUAUGAUUUCUUUCAGUGACCAUGGGACUCUGAUUUCCAAUGGCAGUGGAGAGAGAGAAGCUGUGACUACCUGACUGCCAGCCUCCACAAGACAACGUUGUGUGCGUGAAAUGCUCUUUUUUACAGUGACCCUCGGGACUCAGCCCCCAGCCCACAGCCCCCAUUCUUUCACUGCCUCCUAUUUCUGUGAGGUUAUAACCACGCCUAUAGAAUCACUUUGCCUUUCUAUAUUACUCAGCUGGAAUAAUACGGCAGAUGAGGGCAACAGAAAGGAAAAAAAGAUAUGGAAGUUUGCUAAAUAGAGAAGAUCUGCUACUUCACUAGGAAAAGCUGGAUCCUGAAGAGGAUUAAGGAGAAGUCAGGCACCAUGUUAUGAGGACACUCAAGCAACCCUGUAGAAAGUUCCAUGUGGUGAGGAACUGAUACCUCCAAUCCAUGGCCAGUACCAAUUUACUUAGCAUGUGAGUGCAUCCUGGAAGUAGAUCCUCUUGUCUCAGCCAUGCCUGAAGCUGACUGCCAUCUCAUGGGAGGCCUCAAGCCAGGACUGUCCAGGCGAGCUGCUCCCAUAUUCUUGAUCCACAGAAACUGUGAAAUAAUUAAUGUUUAUGGUUGUUUCAAGUCACUUACAUUUUAAGUUCAUUUGUUAUGCAGCAGUAGAUAAUGGAAACUCUGUAAACAGGAGCCCAGUCUGGGGAGGAUGGAGAUAGUAAUCAGGAGAGGCUUCCUGGAGGAGGUGUUAGCUGAGCUAUGUCUUGUAGAAUGAGGAGGAGUUCUGAGUAGGAGUUAGUGAGGCAGAGAGUGUUGGGGUGCUAAGGCUUUCCGGGCAGGAGGAACAAUAUGUAUAAAGGACCACUUCAGGCCCCAUCUUCUCUGCAAAGUCUUCCCUAACCAUUCACUGCCUGAGUCAUUCAUUUACUUACUCAUUCAUUCGACAAAGCUUUGAUGAGAGCCUCCUAUGUCCUGGGCUCCAUGCAGAGUACUGGGGUUGCUGUAAGUUGCAUAUUCUGAGACUGCUCAGUUAGGCAUAGAAAACUCAAAUGCCCACAAGGGCUAGGCAAGUAAUGCAAGCCAGGGAAGCUGAGUGGUGCACUGGGAGUCAGGGGUGAGGCCAGAGAGAAGCGGAGAGCCCAAUUCCCAAGAAAGGCCCACCAUUUCUCAGCUCCAGUUGUCAGCUGGCAUGCCAGAAUGUAAGCCCAAAUCUGGCCAGAUCUUCCAAUUUAUCAAGAUAUCUAGAAAUUGUAUUUUAGUAUAAAGUCUCCUAAUUUUCAAAAGGCAGCCAGCCCAAACUUGUUGUCAAAUUUCUCUCUUUCCAGCCUUCUGUUCAGGAGCUCCAUGAGUUGGCUGGUGGAGACUUCAGCUUCUCUCCUGCGCUGACCGCAAAACUUUGUCCUCUGCCUUCUGGUUAGCUUGAGUCCUGUGUGACUGGUGCAAUGACUAAUUGUCUCAAUAGUUUUCUAAGUGGUGGCAUGUAACACUUGAGCUCCACUGAUCUCCCAGGAGGGGAAAGAAAGUUGGUGUUUAUUCACAUGCAGACUUCCAUAGCUCCUCAGCAAAGCCCUCUGUAGCCCAACACCAUUAUGGUAAAGGUGUCGAAGCAAAAUUACAGAAUGUAAGGUAGUUAAUCUGGUGGACAGUGAGCACUUUGUGCAUUUCUGAAGCCACGAUACCUACUGAUAGCAUCCAGGGUUGGCCACCUAGUGACUUUUCAAGACACUGGUAUGUGGCUGUGGGAGUGUCCAUAUCUUAGAAAGAGGACAGUGAGUUUAUGGAAGCCUUCCUGUGUGCAAACAUGGGGCUGUGCAUACAGAAGCUUAUUUAAUCCUCCCAACAGCCCUGGAAGAUUGGUGUUAUCAUUGUUCUCAUUUGCAGAUGAGAAAACAGAGUCCCAGGGAAGCUUACUGAUUUGUCCAGGGUCUUGCAGCCAAUAAGAGGCAGGGCAGGCAUCUCUUCUGGGACUGUUAAGUCUAUGUUCUUAUCUACUCUGCUGUAAUUUUUCUCCCUGGAGCUGAAAAAAAGAAAGCACUGGGGUUUCUGAGUUCUUAUUGGAGAGGAACAGAGCAAUGACAAUCUGAUCGGAGGAGGGUCAGGCUGUGGGGCAUGUAAAGCAGUGCCUAUAGAGCAGGCACAGCUUAUUGUUUUGUUUUGUUUUUUUUUCUCUUAGAAUGAGGUGCUUUCCCUUCUUCUCCUCCUACCCCCAAGUAAGCCCUUGGUGAUGCCACUGAGAGGGACCUAGUUAUGAAAGGAAUUUCAAGGACAACCCAUAUGUCAGAUUUAGUGACAUAGUUUGUACUGAGCUUGUGAGUUAUUAGUCAGGUGAGUCUUUUUCUCUGUUGUAUCAUGUACCUUGAUCUGUGGCGGGAAGCGGCACAAAGGAGAGGAAAUGCCAUAGGCUUUGGAGCCUGGGAAAUGUAAGUUUCAAUCCAGAUUCACUCACUAACUAGGUGUGUGACCUUGGACGCGUUGUAGCCUGUCUGAGCUCCAGUCUCCCCUUCCGGCACACGAGGUCAAGAAUAUGCAAUUUACAGCAACCUCAGGGCUCUUCGUGGAGCCUGGGACAGAGGAGGCUCUCACCAAAGCCUUGUCAAAUGAAUAAGUAAAUGAAUGAAUCAGUCAAUGAAUGGUUAGGGAAGACUUUGCAGAGCAGAUGGGGCUUGAAGCGGUCCUGGAGGAUUUAAUACGUGGAAAAGAGGAGGGAGAAAAUUGAAGAGAGGGAAUUGUAGGCAGGGAAAUGACAUAACCAGCAGCUUGGUGGAGAGAAUUCCAGGCUUAGAGGAUAAUGAAAGGCCAAUAUGGCUUCUGGUGGAGGAGAGGAUGGCCUAGGAGGGGCCUGCACCGACUUCCCCAUCCUGAUUAAAUUUCCUCAGUGGCCAAAGAGCGCUAGGUGCUGACACUAAUAGUUCCUUUAACAGGGCCUUUCAUCUCCUAUUCAAAGUGCUUUGCAAGUGUUAAUUAAAUCUCCAAACACCUCAUGAGAUAAAUAUUAUUUAUCCACCUUUUGUAGAUGAAGACAUUUAGGCACAAAGAGCGGUGAUUUUCCCAGGGCAAUGUCUAGAUGGGUGUCCAUUCCCACCUUCAUUCCAGAAUUGCCAAAACAUGUCUUUAGAAGAAAGCAGAAAAAACAAAUCAGAUCUUUUUUGCCAUCCCCCCUCCUAUACCCUCAUACAUAUAAAAAACAGAAAUUAGGACAAAAAAAAGAUGUUAUUUCAGAUAUUUCUUAGUUAUUUUAAAGUCCCCCCAAUGCAUUCUCAAAUGUAUACCUCCCUUCCCAAUUUUUUAGAACUUACAGGUUACAAGGUUGAGAAAAUUGUUCAGUUGAAUGAUUCACAGGUAUAUUCAGGCCUAAAAAUCCAUGCUUUAUAUUUCUCGUCUGUAACACGGGACCCCUCUUUCAGAGUUGUUGUGAGGAUUAAAGGAGUAAAUUUAUACAAAAGCACUUAUUUCAGGGCCAGACCCAUAUCAUCAUUUGAUAGAGGGGGUGAUGAUGAUGAUUUUAGGGGAGCCAGAAGAAUGCCCACCUUCAUCUUCCAAAGGACUCCUGACAUUUCCUCUUGAGUGCCCUUCUAUCACCUUGAUUCAUUUGACCAGUAUGUAUUAUCCUCCAGCACUGUGCUAGGUUGUGGGAAUACAACAAAGCACAAGGAGGCCAGAGCUCUAUUCUCUGGUUCCACCUUGGCUUACAGUCCAGUUAAGGAGUCAGACAUUUAAAAAAAUACAGUUAUGUACUAUUCCUGCCAAGGUGAGCCCUAGAAAACAGAGGUUCACGAUGCUCUGAGCUAGCUAAGAGAAGGCGCUCUUCUAAGUCAGGGAGGUCAGCAAGGGCUCCUAGCGGGGAGGGGUGCUUUAGCUGGGAUCUGAAGGAUGAUACAAGGUAAGUGGGUGAAGAAGAGAGGGAAAAGGACACCAAACAGAGGGGACAGCAUGUACAGAAAACCCCAAACUAAAGAGAUAAAAAGUGUCAUUCAGCAACCAUUUCCAAGUUCCUUGUUUAAAAAGAAUGUCGGGCACUAGAAAAGCGAGACACAACAUGAGAAAUUAGCCCCAGAAGAGUAGGAGUCAGAUGAUAUAAAUUGGUACUGACCCUGGAGUCCAGUUUGAUAAGAAACAUAGAGAAGGAGCUGGAAUUGUUCAGAGGCCUUGGCUAAUGGCUCUGCCCAGGGAAGUUGAAGCAGGCUUUCUGGAGGUGGCACCAGAGCUGAGCUUUCUUUUAUUCACUUGUUAGCAAGAAUGAUUGAAUAUCUAUCUACAUGGUGUCAAGCAGUAGGCUCUGCCCCGUGGUAAAGGAGGGACCAGGAGAAGGUUCCUGCCCUGAAGGAAGCCACAGGGGAACAGAGGAGGCAAAGGUUCUGACCGAGGAGGAAGGAAGGAGCGUGGUCUUGUUCUCAUGUCUGUCUUGGGAGUGCAGUGGAGGAGGGGCAUGGUGAGGAGUCAGAUGGAUCUGUGAAUGCUGGUGUAGUUGAAUACAUAAGACUUAAUAAUGAUAUCGAACUAGCUUAUAAUAGCACCUUGUAUUGGUUUAGGACUUAACAGUUUAGGAGGUACACGCAUGAGCCCAUUGGCUAUGACAGCAGCUUGGCAAGGAAGUAGAACAGGUAUGAUUUCCCGCAUUUUCAAGACAAUGAGAUUGAAGCUGAGGAAAAAUAAAUUAAGUGAAUGAUUUGAUUUUUAGGAAUUACAAUGCCCUUUGUCAGUAAGACAUUGGAGGACCUUGGUUUUGGAUCCGUGCAUUUUGAUUUUGGCUUUUGUAGUUGUUUUCCCUGAAUCUCCAUCUGCAUUAGUGUUUCUGAGUGUUCACAGCUGAAGAUUAGAUAGAUUCAGGGGCACACAAUGGACCCGCCACAUGAGCUGCUAGCCCACCUGGAGCAAAUGGCAUUGGCUGCUAGCCCCACUUAUGAUCUGAAGAACAGCAAAGCUGCAUUUCUUUACAAAAUGUGCUCUAAGUAGGGUGAGCAUCAUAGACCAUACAACUUGGGACACUUCCAAGAGUAAAAGGGUGUGGGAAUCAUAAUUACUUUAGGAUGACAGGCUUACAUGGAGACUAACCCUGACCAAUUGGGUCAUAUGGUCACCCUACCUACGAGUCAUCCUUCUCACUAAUUGAAUUCUUCCUUUGGUCCUCACUUUUUUCUGAAUUGUUUACUCAUCCAAUUAUUGGACAAUUAUUUACCGGUCCCCUCUAUUCGAGGUUCUGGGCUGCCAGGGAUGCAUAAUCCAGGAUUUCUCCUCCAAAGAAAGAAGGAUUCUUCCUCCAGAGAUGAAAUCAGUGAACUCUGAGUAACUCUCCCGGAUAAGUGAGCAGGCACAGAGCCUCUUGUAGGUUUCACUCUCCAUCUUCUCAUGUUAAUGAGCCAUCAAAGGAGAUGUUCCUAGAGGGUAGAGAUCAUGUCUGCUCUGUCCUCUGCAACACAUGGGGUUAUGGGAGGUAUUCACAGACACCAGGCAGGGCCUUUCGAAGAGCGAGGCAAACCGGUCCCUUCUGUAAAAUAGCAGUGCUCAGCUAAUGAGUCCCUGUGGGGCCCCCUACUCCUCACAUGCCUUUCUUUUUGUCCUCUCCCUUUGUUUCUUGGGUUGUGUAACACUCAUCACAUUAGUAAUUAAUUAUUUGUGAGCACCAGUUUAAUGCUUGUUGGACAAGAAGCUGGGUUGUCCCUAGUACCUAGCAGGGGCCCUGGUUUGUGGAAGUCUUCAAUAAAUAUUUGCUUGCUGACUCAUUGACUUAAGGCCCAAGGUCAGGGGCUGCCUCUGAUGAGAACCUAGGAGAAAUAAAUUUCCUGAGAGAAAAAUGGAGUGCAGGCAGGGAUAGAGGGGAGCUUACAGGUCUGAGUCUGGCAGAUAGAAGGUGCUUACUUGAGCAGGAUAUUCAAAAGAACAGGCUGGGUGCAGUGACUCACACCUGUAAUCCCAGCACUUUGGGAGGCCAAGGCAGGUGGAUCACUUGAGGCCAGGAGUUCAAGACCAGCCUGGCCAACAUGGCAAAACUCCACCUCUACUAAAAAAAUACAAAAAAUUAGGCGGGCGUGGUGGCAGGCGCCUGUAGUCCUAGCUACUUGAGAGGCUGAGGCAGGAGAAUGGCGUGAACCUGGGAGGCGGAGCUUGCAGUGAACCAAGAUCAUGCCACUGUACUCCAGCCUGGGCAACAGAGCAAGACUCCGUCUCAAAAAAAAAAAAAAAAAACACCUAAAAUAAAUAAAUAUAUAAAUAAAUAAAUAAACAUCAGCUGGGUGUGGUGGUGCAUGCCAGUAAUUUCAGCUACUUGGGAGGCUGAAGCAUGAGAAUUGCUUGAACCUGGGGGUGGAGGUUGCAGUGGACUGACAUUACACUAACGCACUCCAGCCUGGGUGACAGUGAGACUCUGUCUCAAACUAACAAACAAACAAACAAACAAAAUGAGCAGCCUGCCUAAGGAGAAAGAAUAAUGCUGCCUGUGUCUCGAUAUCAUUCUUGAGUCCCUCAGGUAGGAGUGGUGGCUUUGUGCCUGCCCAGCCUUUCUGCCAUCUGCCUUAUCCAGCAGUAGGUCUUGGCCUGACACCCAGCUGAGCAGAGCAAUGGAACAAGGAGUAGAAUUUCCUGCCUGGACUAAAAUGUGGCCCCAUUUCCAGGAUUCCAGAUGUUCCAGUGAAAGUGCCAGGGGAAGCUCAUGGCCAGGUAUGUAGAGCUCAGCCAAGCUGGCACGAAGUGGUAUUCCCAUCAUACUCUCUCAUCAGGCACCCCCAUAUAUGGUAUUGCCCAAUUUUUUUCACUCCGGGAUAGGUAUUGGCUAUUACAUUUGCUGCAGGACUGUACCUGUGGAGCGACCUGGAUGGAGCUUCUAUCAGGGAGGACUUUGAAGAGGACUCUUGUCUUUGGCCAUGGUGGGGUGGGGGGAAAUGAGAAGGGCUGGGCCCACCCCUGAGCCAGAGGAGAGAAGCUGGGGCUGCAGUGAUGGUCUGGCAGUUGGUGGGUGUCAAGCAGACCAUUUAUGGGCUAUAUCUGCUAUGUCAUUCAACCUGAAUGGCCCCUGCAGCCUAAUUGCUGGUGUUCAAGUCCCAUCUCCACCUCCUGUUGGCCAUGUGGCUGACAGCAAAUUAUUUAUCUUUCCUUUUUCAGUUUCAUCUUCUUGAAAAUGAGGAUGAUAAUAGUAGCCACCACAGUGGGUUCUUAUGACAAGUAAAUGAUUUAAUAUAUGUAAACUCUAGGUCUGGCACAGUGGCUCACAUCUAUAAUCCUAGCACUUCGAGAAACCUAGGCAGGUGGAUUGCUUGAGGCCAAGAGUUCAAGACCAGCCUGGGCAACAUGGCAAAACCCCAUUUCUACCAAAAACACAAAAAUUAGCCAGGCAUAGGGGUGCAUGCCUGUAGUCCCAGCUACUUGGAAGGCUGCGGCAUGAGAAUCGCUUGAACCUGGAAGGCAGAGGUUGCCAUGAGCCGAGAUAGCACCACUGCACUCCAGCCUGGGUGACAGAGCAAGACUAUCUCAAAAAAAGAAAAAAGUCUUCAGAGCAGUUUCUGGCAUAAAGUGUUAGCUAAAAGCAAAAUAAACAAAUAAAAACCUGCACUCAUAUCAUUCCCCAACAUGUUCUAUGCCCUUGCACACUUUCACUCUUGCCUUUUCCCAGUAUCCACCUGCCUUACACUUACCUCUCCUUCUAGUCAUAUCCUUAUCACCUCAUUCAUUCAUUUAUUCAACAAACCUUAUUGGGUAUCUAAGACUUGCCAAAUGUUGGUCAGAUCAUACUAUAACAAAUAGGCAAAAUCUCUAACCUGAAGAAACCUAUAGUCCAAUGGGAGAAACAUAAUUUAAAUAAAAUAAAAUUAAUAUAUUUUCCAAGAGACAGAUGAAGAUAAACAUAAGGGGUAAGUACUUUUAGCAGGAGAGAACUUGGGAGAAUCUCUGCAAGAGACACCAUUUAACUGGGUCAGAAAAGUUGGGUAAUAUAACACUAUAAUUAUUAUUAUUUUAUAACAAUAAUAAUAGCUUCCAUUUUUGGAGCAUUUGCUAUGUCCUCUGAACUAUGUGCUUGUCAGGGAUUAGCUCUUGCGACAAACCCUAGGAAGUAGGUACUAUCGUUAUCCACCUUCCCUCUGACAGACGAAGACACUGAAACUUUGAGUGGAUAAUUAGCUCAUCUAAGGUUUUAUAGCUAUCAAAUAAAGAAUUGGGAUUUAACCCUAGGCUACCUGGAUCUGGGGCCUGUGCACCACUAAGCCCCACUGAGAAAGCACUGACCUCUUUAUGCUGGAAGCCUCCCCAUGCUGAGAUGCUGGGAUUCCUCAUUCCAAAGCUACUGAACCCCUGGAAUGCAUCAGGCACAGUGCUUUGUAUGGACCCUAUCUAUGUCAAUCAUCCUAGUUCUAGCUGGUUUUCAAUACAUAUUUGUUAGUUAAAUUGCAAUUGGCAAUGUUUACGAAGGGCUUAUCAGACAUGAGGCGCUAUUCUAAGAGCUUUCCACGUAUUAAUCCAUUUAUUCCCCACAACAGUACUAAAACGGAGUAUACAUUAUCCGUGUUUUACAGAUGAGAAAACGUCUGUAACAGAGAGGUUAAACUACUUGCCCAAGAUCAUUCAGCUAGGGAGGGGAAGUCCUGCCUAGGAGACAUCCCAGGUCUUUCCAAUUCUGAAUAUCCAAUUCUUAUAUCUUUCUGGUUCUGUUUUUGCCGUGUCCCUUUCUGUUAGGGUGGGGUGAUUCAGGCUGGGAUGGGGGUACCCACAGAUGGCCAAACAAUUUUGAAGCAAGCCAAUUGUUAUAUUUCAGGGUUUGAGAUAGAGACCUGCGACGCCCUUUCCUGGAUUUGAAACACACUGGGCUACCUGGUCCUUCAAAGAAUUUUGGAUGUAUCUAUAUUUUGCUGCUGCUGACUCAGGGAAUUAGGCUGGUUGACACUGGGAAGCUUGCUUGAGUCUAUAUGUGCCUACGGGAACAACCCCACUAAAACUUCCUAGGAGACAGGCUUACAGAGGCCUCCUGUAAGAAGACCCCAGAUUUAGAGAAGACUGUGGCAUAAACUCUCCUGUGCAUGUAUCUGCCUUUCUCACUAGACUCUAGGCUCUCUGAAGGCAAGCACCAGAUUGCUGUCAUCUUUGCAGGCUUCUGUCCCCCUCAAGCACCUGGUUAGGUGCUCUGCACAUAGUAGGUGAUGUAAACACAUUGAUGGAGUAAAGAAUGUGGAAUCUUCAGAACAGAAUGUGGUUCCUGCAGGCAUCUCUGUGUGGUUUGUGGCAGAAAUGAUCCAUUGCCUGCUUGUGUGAACUUGGCUAUUUACUUUGCCUUUCUGGACCUCAGUUUUCUCAUCUGUCAACUGGGUUAAAACAUUCUCGGCUGCUGUGAGGAUUAAAUGAGAUAAUACAGAACUUAGAACAGUGUUUGGCACAUGGAAAGUGCUCCAAGAAUAUGAAUUAUUCCUAAUAUUGUUAACAUAGUCAGUAUCAUCAAACAUCUGCCAGGUAUAGCGUGAGUUCUGAAGCCAAAGAGACCUGGAUUUGAAUCCUGGUUCCUUUGCUUUUUCUCAGGUGAGGUAUUACAGCUCUGUAUGCCUUGAUUUCCACGUCUGUGAAGUGGGGAUAAAGCUCAUUCUACAGGGUGCUGGAGAUAUGCAAGUAAAGCCUUAGUGUAGGGGGGACAUUUAGUGACUGCUCAGGGAAUGAGGGUGGCCUUGAUGAUGUCCAUGCCACAAUCUUGAUUUUGUACAUGAGAAAUAGAGGCAGCAAGGAGACUUGGUGAUUAGUUUCAGGGCUUUGCCCUCCAGGACAACCAGACCUCCUUACUGUCUUGAGCUGCCUAAAAACACUUUGUGAAAAGAACUUGCAGUGGGCCAGCCUUCCCCUUUCUCCCUUCCCCACCCUGAGUCCUCUUGGACCCUUGGAAAGGGGGCUUUUGUCCUCUUCCAGGGUCCUGUGGCAUUUAGACAUGUUGGUGCUGCAAAGGCUACCCCGUCUGAAUUGCAAAGCAUCACCCCGCUGCAUUUUCAGAGGAGCUUUGAGGCUGCACCGGGCCACCAGCAGUGAGCCUUUCAUUUCAGGACUGGUCUUUAUUGUCCUAUUGAGGUUUCUGUCCAAACUUCCCCUUCAGGAAAACAUAAACCUGAGAGGAAGGGCUGACCCGGGAUGCUUCAUUUUUAUUCUUUUGGUGGUAACGUCUGGUGCAAUAAAACCCAGGCCAAAGGGAUGAAAAAUGGCUUUCUCUGUCUCUGUCUCUCUCUCUCUCUCCCCUUCUCUUUCCUGCCUUCCCCAAACCAUCCAAGCUGCGGAGCGCAGCCCUGGACCAUUUGCAGGGCCAGCCUCAGCGCAAGCCCUCCCUGGGUUUGAAUAGAAAACCACAAGCCAUAAUACACAUAAAAUCCUAAUGCGCCUUCAAAAUUACCUCAUCUUUUAUUUAGAGGUUAUUCCGCCCUUGUCUUUCUUUAUCGCUCUUUAUAUGACUGAAGUGGGUGAGCAGCACCAAAUGAGGCCAUCGCGGUCGCUGAGCGGAGGGAGUGUUUAUAGCCUAACUUUGGCGAGGCAACAAGCCCCCAGGAGUGCCUUCAUUUCAGCACCCCCGGCCCUCCCCAAAGCCAGCUCGUUCUAUUUGGAGACUGUUGCUGCCUUACCAGGUCUGUUUUUUUAAAAAUCUUUUUCUUCCAUACAUGAAUUUUAUUGUAUUUCUAAGUGAAAGGGAGGUGGCUUUCCGAGAAGCUAUGAUUUUUGAGUAGGCUGCAAAUGCCUGGCAGAGACUGGGGCCCCAACACUCCCAGGGCCAAAGCCUCAGACCGGCAUUUCCAGCUGAGGUCCUUGUUCUCUGAGCUCAGGAUCCUUGACAUUUAAAGGGCAAGAGGAGCCGUGAUUUAUACUGAAGCUCAAUUUGGAGAAAGUGGUGGGGAGAUUGGACAAAUUGCUUUUUGCAGGCUAAAGCUUUGGUUCUCAGACUUCAGUAUCCUGUGUAUAAAAAUCUCCUGGAGGGAUCAUUGAAAUAAAGUGCUGAGCCCCAUCCCCAGAAGUUCUGAUUCCAUCGGUCUGGUUGGGGACAGUGGGGUAGAUGGGUUGGGGCUGAUAGUCUACAUUUCUUUCCUUUAUUUUUUGGAGUCGGAAUCUCACUCUGUUGCCCAGACUGGCAUGUAGGGGUGUGAUCUCGGCUCACUGCAACCUCCACCUCCCGGGUUCAAGCGAUUCUCCUGCUUCAGCCUCGAGUAGCUGGGACUCACCAGCACGCACCAGCACACCCAGGGCUAAUUUUUGAAUUUUUUAGUGGAGACGCGGUUACACCAUAUUGGACAGGCUGGUCUCAAACUCCUGACCUCGUGAUCUGCCCGCCUCAGCCUCCCAAAGUGCUGGAAUUACAAGCAUGAGCCACCACAGAUGGCAAAUAGUCUGCAAUUCUAAAGAAUUUCCAGGUGUUGCGCUGAAGGUCAGGAUCUAGACCACACUGACAAGCGCUGGGCUAGAAGUGUAAGUAAAUGAAGGUGAGCUGGUGUGUGUGUGUGUGUGAGAGAUACCGAGGUACACACACACCCAGGCAAGCAAUGACUUUACUUUCCGAAGGGAAGCUUGCUACCCAGGGUGAAGGUGGGCUUCAAUGAUAGUGAAUUGGAUUCUAGAUUUUAGCACUGUGAGAUCCUACAACCUACGAUGAAUGCAGCCCAGUUUCCUUCAACAGAGAUUUCAAAGAGACAGCAAUUAUCAGACUUUGGAAAUGCCUUUACCCUGGUCCUGCUGGGAAGCAGACCAUGUCCUUUAUAUUUCACAAGUCUUUGAAAUUGAAGAAAUCUCUAAGGACCUAAGAGCCACGUCUCUAAGCAGUAUAGCACAGUGAUUAUGAACGCAGAGUCCAGGGUCAGAGCAAUGGCCUUUGUCUUAGUGAUCUUGGGCAAGUUAGAAAACCUCUCUGAGCUUCAGUUUCUUUAACUGUAGAAAGAGAUAAAAUUAGAAUCAACCUCAGAGGGUGUUGUAAGGAUUGAAUGAAAUAAGGCAUGUAAAAUGUCUUAGCAUAGUGCUUUGGACUUGGUUAGUCCCAAUAAAGUAUUACUGUUAUUAUUGUAAGCAUGUGCCUGCUCUUCUGAAUGUUUUUAAGUUAGUACUUCUUUAGAUUCAAUGAGCACCUAAUAAAUACGUACUAUGUGCCAAGCUCUUUUAUACUCAUUAUAUUGUGUAAUCAUCUGAAUUUGUUGAAAUGGGUGCUUCAUCUGAUUCUACCGAUGAGAAAACUGGUUCUCAGAAAGGUUAAGAAAUUUGCCUGGGUUAUUUACAAGUUACAAAGCUUAUAAGUGGUACACCUGAGAUUAAACCGAGACAGACUGGUUCUCAUCCCUCCACAACCCAGAUGGAGCUAGAGUUUGCUCCUAGCUCUGCCACUGGGGAGCUCUGUAAUAUUAGGCAACAUGCUUACCUUCUCUGGUCCUCAUCAUGUGGAAAGUGAAAAGACUGGAUUAUUCAUGGUGAAGUAGAAGGUUCCUUGCAGGGGCGCCAAUAAUAACAGCUAGGGGCCUGGCAGGUAUUUCACAAGUAUUUUUACUGGACCUAAUCAGGUUUCAUUCAAGUCAUCCUUAAUUCAAUAAUUUAACAAGUAUCUGUUGAACAUCUACUAUGUAUCCAGCACUAUUUUAAUUACUAGAAAUGAUGCAGUGACUAAAACAGAGCAGGCCAGGUGCGGUGCCUUAUGCUUGUAAUCCCAGCACUUCGGGAGGCUGAGGCAGGUGGAUCACCUGAGCUCAGGAGUUUGAGACCAGCCUGGCCAAAAUAAUGAAAACCCCAUCUCUACUAAAAAUACAAAAAUUAGCUGGGUGUGGUGGUGUGUGCCUGUAGUCCCAGCUAUUUGGGAGGAUGAGGCAGGAGAAUUGCUUGAGCCUUGGAGGCGGAAGUUGCAGUGAGCCAAGAUCACCCCAUUGCACUCUAGCCAGGGUGACAGAGUGAGACCUUAUCUCAAAAAAAGGAAAAAAAAAAAAAGAAAAGAAAAAACCCAGAGCAAAGUCACUUUCCUUUCUGUGUUUAUAUUCUACUUGGAGGGGCUGGUGGUAGAGUGUUGGCUAUAAACAUAUAACAUAUAAACAUAAGCAAAUAUCUCAGGAACAGGAAAUCAGGGAGGAAAGCUGCUCAGUUGAAGGCAUGCUUAGAAUGUUCCAGGAACAUCCAGGAAACCAAGAUGGCUAGAGUGUAGUGAACGUGAGGAAGAACGAUAGGAGGGCAGAGUGUGCAGGGCCUCAUGGAUCACGGCACAGACUCUGGCCUUUGCCCUGGAAGGGGAAGCCAUUUUUUUGGGUGGAGGUUCACCCAGAGGAAUAUCCUGAGACAAUAAUUUGAAUGCAAGUAGUUUAUGUGGAAAGUGAUUCCAGGAAGCACCAGAAUAGGUGUGGAGAGGUAAGACAGGAAAGAAAAAGAACCCAGUAAAAGGGGUAAUAUCAAGCUGGUUGCGAUUGUAAGCAACUGCAACUCUGUCUUGCAAGGGACCACUGGGAGACAGUGUAGAGAAUGCUUGCAUGUCAUCACCACCCAGGCCGAAGGACCUGGGAAACUGAUCCACCGGCUCUCUGACCAUUGGUGGUUGAAGGCCAUGUCCAAAGGUGUUAACUAUCUGGCACAUUCUGUUUGCCCUGGACUUGAUUAUGUGUGCUUCUCCAGCCAGGAAAAGGGCCCUGAGGCAGAGGGUUGCAGAGCCUAAUUGACUUGCACAGCUGAAUGCAGAAUGGAUAUGGCCAGGGCAUCAAUGCCUCUGUGACUCCAUUGGGAGUUUUUGAGCAGGGGAAUGAUGUGAUCAGAUAUAUUUAAAUGGGUCACUUUGAAUGAUGUGUUGAGAAUAGGUAGGGUGGAGGGCAAAGGAAGAAGGAAAGGGAAAUAGCUGAAAAAUUAUCACAAUAAUUCAUGUAAUGGUAACUUGGAUCAGAUGACUGCAGCCCCAGGUAGUGGAGGUAAUAUGUUUUGCUCACUUUUUUAGAAAACACAUUUUUGUUUCAAUAGCUCUUGGAGUACAAGUGGUUUUUGGUCACAUGGGUGAAUUGUUUAGUGUUGAAGUCUGAAAUUUUAGUUUAGCUUACCUUUUGAAUGGAUUCUGUAAGCUCAAUCAAAACUCAUUGUUUUUAAGCAUCAACGACUGUGUCCACCAUAGGGCUAGAUGAAUUCUUACUUAACUUCUCUUCUUCUUCUUACAUGCUUAGAAUUGCAGCCUUGACUUCAAUAUGAUGUAUAUUCAAACACCAGGCAAAUUAGCUUAUUUGUGCAUUGACUACAGAAAACUCUGUUAGUCUUACUUUGUAGGAGUAAACAUCAAAUGCUUCUGACAGCGACACUCAAAUGACAUGCUAAGAUUACAUCUUCAGAAGUUUAAGAAUAUAAAGAAACAUCUUGAAUUAGAAAACAGUACCUUUUUGUUUAUAUAAGUAAUGAGUUUAAGGAUCUACAACAACUCAGUAGUUAGUUGUGAAUUGCCGUUGGCUUCAAGGACAUAAUAACAAGCAGUAGGUAUAUAAUACAUAUUUGUGGAACUGAAUUGAAUUGGCUUAUAAGAAAGACAUAAUAUUUAAAUCCUUAGCUGUGAAGAACUUACCAGGGCUGCCUAUUAUUUUUAGAAGAUUUUCUUGUCUGAUCCUGCUCUGAAGUAGCUAACAUUGGCUACAUGUCUGCUAUGUUCCAGGGACUUUACAAGCAGUAUUUACGUUAAGUUCUGUGGUAGCCAGUCUUGAAGAAGGCCCCGGUGAUCCUGCCUCCCUCCUGGUGUUCACACUUUUGUGUAGUCCCCUCCCACAUUGUACCAGGGUGGGUCUAUGUGGCAGAAUUGGUGGUUUCUCACUUUUUUUUUUUAAAGGGCAGGGUCUCGCUUUUUCAUCCAGGCUGGAGUGCGGUGACAUAAUUACGGCUCACUGCAGCUUCGACCUCUGGGCUCAAGCAAUCCUCCCACCUCAGCUUCCUGAGUAGCUGCAACUACAGGUGCAUGCCACCAUACUUGGUUAGUUCUCUUUUUCGCAGAGACGAGGUCUCACUAUGUUGCCAGGGCUAGUCUCGAAGUCCUGGACUCAAGCAAACCUCCCGUCUUGACUUGCCAAAGUGCUGGGAUUACAAGCAUGAGCCACGGCACCAGGCUGCGUUCUCACUUUUGAGAUUAGAAAUAUUGGCAGCUUCCAUUGUGUUCCCUCUUUUUCUCUCUUGGAUCAUUCACAUGUCAUGAGAAGCCCCAAGGUGAAGCCUACAUGGUGAGAAACUGAGGCCUCCAGCCAGCAGCCAGGUUAAUGGGUUUGAAAGCAAAUCCUCCAGCCCAAUCCAGCCUUCAGAUGACUGCAGCCCUAGGUGACAAUGUGACAGAGGACUCAGGAGGAACCCUAAGCCAGAACCACCCUCUCAUCCAUGCUUAGACUCCUGAUCCUUGGAACAUAUGUGAGUUAAAAAUGUGCUUGUUGUUUUAAGCCAUUAAAUUUGGGGGUAGUUUGUGUUACACAGCAAAGAUAAUUAAUAGAAUUCCCAUAAUAGUUCUUUGGAAAUGGAUAUUGUUUUCUAUAUUUUUACAGUAGAGAAAAGCAAAGCUCACAGGGUGAAGGAUAGAAGGACCAUAUAACUUAUUGUUUAAACUGGGACAUUUUGAGCAUUAAAGGGAUGUUCUUAUUAAUUACACUGAAACAGCAGGUGUAAACUCGGACAGUCCCUGAGUCCUGGCAGAGUAUGGGGGAACAUCACUUUACUUACGUAAUUUAACUAGGGUCUUCAGCCACCAAGUAUCAGAGUUUGGACUGGUCUGAAGUAUGUCAGUUUCCAGAGUGUACACCUUCCUGCUGCUUCCCUGGCUAUGUCCUAAGCACGUAUCCAGCAAUAGUAGAACUCCAGACAUAAGAAGUGAUAUACAUGCACAGCGUAAAUGUAUUUUGAUAACUACAUUUUUUUUUUUUUGAGACAGAGUCUCAUUCUGUCACCCAGGCUGGAGUGCAGUGGUGUGAUCUCACCUCACUGCAAGCUCCGCCUCCCGGGUU
rnacentral:lncRNA from 1 species